GAUGAACGCUGGCGGCGUGYUUAACACAUGCAAGUCGAACGGGAAACAUUUUAUUGAAGCUUCGGCAGAUCUAGCUUGUUUCUAGUGGCGGACGGGUGAGUAACGCGUGGGUAACCUGCCUCACACUGGGGGAUAACAGUCAGAAAUGGCUGCUAAUACCGCAUAAGCGCACAGCAUCGCAUGAUGCAGUGUGAAAAACUCCGGUGGUGUGAGAUGGACCCGCGUUGGAUUAGCUAGUUGGCAGGGCAGCGGCCUACCAAGGCGACGAUCCAUAGCCGGCCUGAGAGGGUGAACGGCCACAUUGGGACUGAGACACGGCCCAGACUCCUACGGGAGGCAGCAGUGGGGAAUAUUGCACAAUGGGGGAAACCCUGAUGCAGCGACGCCGCGUGAAGGAAGAAGUAUCUCGG
rnacentral:rRNA from 1 species